GAGUUUGAUCCUGGCUCAGGAUGAACGCUGGCGGCGUGCUUAACACAUGCAAGUCGAACGGGCUCAUAUUGAAACCUAGUGAUGUAUGAGUUAGUGGCGGACGGGUGAGUAACGCGUGGAGAACCUGCCGUAUACUGGGGGAUAACACUUAGAAAUAGGUGCUAAUACCGCAUAAGCGCACAGCUUCGCAUGAAGCAGUGUGAAAAACUCCGGUGGUAUACGAUGGAUCCGCGUCUGAUUAGCUGGUUGGCGGGGUAACAGCCCACCAAGGCGACGAUCAGUAGCCGGCCUGAGAGGGUGAACGGCCACAUUGGGACUGAGACACGGCCCAAACUCCUACGGGAGGCAGCAGUGGGGAAUAUUGCACAAUGGGGGAAACCCUGAUGCAGCGACGCCGCGUGAGUGAAGAAGUAUUUCGGUAUGUAAAGCUCUAUCAGCAGGGAAGAAAAUGACGGUACCUGACUAAGAAGCCCCGGCUAACUACGUGCCAGCAGCCGCGGUAAUACGUAGGGGGCAAGCGUUAUCCGGAUUUACUGGGUGUAAAGGGAGCGUAGACGGCAGCGCAAGUCUGAAGUGAAAUCCCAUGGCUUAACCAUGGAACUGCUUUGGAAACUGUGCAGCUAGAGUGCAGGAGAGGUAAGCGGAAUUCCUAGUGUAGCGGUGAAAUGCGUAGAUAUUAGGAGGAACACCAGUGGCGAAGGCGGCUUACUGGAC
rnacentral:rRNA from 1 species